GGGCGCAGCCUGAUCAGCAUGCCGCGUGAGUGAAGAAGGCCUUCGGGUUGUAAAGCUCUUUCAGUUGAAAAGAAAAAGCCGUGACUAAUAAUCAUGGUUCAUGACGGUAUCAACAGAAGAAGCACCGGCUAACUACGUGCCAGCAGCCGCGGUAA
rnacentral:rRNA from 1 species